rnacentral:rRNA from 1 species
GACGAACGCUGGCGGCGUGCUUAACACAUGCAAGUCGAACGGAAAGGCCCUGCUUUUGUGGGGUGCUCGAGUGGCGAACGGGUGAGUAACACGUGAGUAACCUGCCCUUGACUUUGGGAUAACUUCAGGAAACUGGGGCUAAUACCGGAUAGGAGCUCCUGCUGCAUGGUGGGGGUUGGAAAGUUUCGGCGGUUGGGGAUGGACUCGCGGCUUAUCAGCUUGUUGGUGGGGUAGUGGCUUACCAAGGCUUUGACGGGUAGCCGGCCUGAGAGGGUGACCGGACAAAGGGGGAGGAGAAAAGGGCCAGAAUCCUAAGGGGGGGAAGAGGGGGGAAUAAUGGAAAAAGGGGGGAAGCCCGAAGGAGGAAACCCGGGGGGGGGAAGGAGGGCCUUGGGGUGGAAAACGGUUUUGGCGGGGAAGAAGGGGGGGGGAAGGGUAAGGGGAAAAAAAAAACCGGCAAACAAGGG